rnacentral:rRNA from 1 species
AAUUGACGGGGGCCCGCACAAGCGGUGGAGCAUGUGGUUUAAUUUGAUGCAACGCGAAGAACCUUACCUACUCUUGACAUCCAGAGAAUUCGCUAGAGAUAGCUUAGUGCCUUCGGGAACUCUGAGACAGGUGCUGCAUGGCUGUCGUCAGCUCGUGUUGUGAAAUGUUGGGUUAAGUCCCGCAACGAGCGCAACCCUUAUCCUUUGUUGCCAGCGAGUAAUGUCGGGAACUCAAAGGAGACUGCCGGUGAUAAACCGGAGGAAGGUGGGGAUGACGUCAAGUCAUCAUGGCCCUUACGAGUAGGGCUACACACGUGCUACAAUGGCAUAUACAAAGAGAAGCGAACUCGCGAGAGCAAGCGGACCUCAUAAAGUAUGUCGUAGUCCGGAUUGGAGUUUGCAACUCGACUCCAUGAAGUCGGAAUCGCUAGUAAUCGUAGAUCAGAAUGCUACG